CCAAAAACAUAGCCCUUUCUAAAAUAAAAGGUGUUACCUGCCCAAUGAUUAACAAAUCAAGAAAUAAAAGUACUCUAAGUUAAUUCAACGGACGCGGUAUCCUGACCGUGAUAAUGUAGCAUAAUCAUUCGCCAUUUAAUUGAUGGAUAGUAUGAAUGGUAUAACGAAUACACCACUGUCUCAAAAGAAAUUCUUAUGAAAUUAGAAUAAUAGUGAAGAUACUAUUUAAGACUGUAAGACGAGAAGACCCUAUAGAGCUUCACUACAACUCUCUACACCCUUGUAAAUUUAUUUAAACACUUAGAGAGAUAGGUAGUUUAGUUGGGGCGACUGCUUUCUAAAAUUAACGAAAGUAUGCAAUAUUAAUAAAUUAAUUUACUGUCUAAUCCAUAGAUUUAACAGUUAUAAAAAUAGGCUAUAAUGACCCGUUAUCUAAAAGUAAUUGUGAUAACGAUCAAUAAAUAAAAGCUACCUUAGGGAUAACAGGAUAAUCUUGUUUUAGAGACCCUAUCGAAAACAAGGUUUGUCACCUCUAUGUUGAAUUAAGACAUCCAAGAAGUGUAGCAGCUUCUAAGGGUAGGUCUGUUCGACCUGUAAUGUCUUACAUGAUUUGA
rnacentral:rRNA from 1 species